rnacentral:lncRNA from 1 species
AAUUUACAGAGUCAAUUCUCGGCGCUGGAAAAAAAAAUUCCUUGCAUUCAUAAAUAAACAGGGCAUUGGAAUUCUUCACUCCUCCCAACUCCAUGCUUGCUUAUCAUCAUAUUUAUAUCUCCGCGUGCCUUUGGAAGGUACAACAUCUACUAACUUUUAUGAGAUUUGCAGAGCCAAGAUUUUAAUAUAGCCAUGAGAGUAGUUUUAUUUCUGGUCAUUCUAAUCACAGCAAAUGUUUCAAGAGGAGAGGGUACAAGACUGGCGAAGGCCGAUAGAGUUUUCAAAACUUCGCUUGAAGAUCAGAUGCCAAAAGGGCCGGUGCCACCUUCUGGUCCAUCCCCUUGCCAUAACAAAUUGGACCCUUUCAAGGAAAGAAAAUUUUAUUUCCCUCCUCCUAAUUCUAUUAUUUGUCCAUGAAGUUUCGACAUGUAUUAAUUAUUGUUUUUGGGUCAUUCUGAAUAUUUUUAAACACUUUCUCCUGCAGAGUUUAUUAAUUAGAUUUUGUAUUUCAGUUUUUCUUGUUUUGUUGGGGUAGGGAGGGCCGGAGGGGUAAUUUUUAUGUAUUAAUGCAAUGGGAUAAAUAAGGAAAACACAUCCUAAGUAGAUAAUAUCUUCCUGGUUAAAGUUUAAAGUUCAGACGAGUAUGCAUAGAAUAAAUGUCCUUUUCCCCUUCAUAAAGCUAUUUAUAAAUAGGCUCGAGUAAUUUGGAACACAACUGCAACCGGGGUAUACAAAGGCGGUUGAAAAUCGAGGUAUAUAUAUCCAAUUUUGAGAUUGGUUAGGCCUAUUAAAGGUUUUCUUCCACUAUAGUACAUUCAAGAAUGUCUUGUACUCUCAAAUUUUAUUGAAGAAUUUAUGAAUGAAGUGGCAAAUUUAUUGGGUAAUUGCCUCAAAAGUUAAAAGUUGGAAAACUUCUAUUGCAAAUAAUAAAAGGUAAUGAUUGUAUGGAAGACUUCUAAUUAAAGUUGAGAGCAUAAUCUUUGCAGUACUUGAUCUACAAUUUACAUUCGAUUUUGGAGUUUUGAACAUGAAGAAAUCCUUGUUUGAGUUGAAAUUAAACGCUUCUAUUUGGUUAUUGAUCCUAUAAAUAAUGGAUGUAUUUCAUUAUUUUGGAUGUGGACUAAGAGUUGAUUUGAGAGAGAAUAUAUUGUGAACCUAGUAUCUUGAGACCUUUCGGACAAAUGGGAGAAAAAUAGAUAUGGUAAAAUUCGAGUUCAUUUUUCUUUGUAAUACUUGGGAAUUAGGUUGGUGAGUGAAAUUCUAUAUGAUUGUAACAAUUUUCAUAUAGUAAAAAGUUUUGAUAGUCAGUUUAAUUGAUG